GUCCUACCACAUAAGCAGAUAGCCAUAAAUGAAGCUCAGUAGGAGACUCCCUUUCUGCAGAUAGGAAUUGUAUUUCUUUUUAAGUUACAACUUGAUCCUGGUGUAUCCUGUCUAACCGUUUUUCUGCAUAGUCCCCAAACGAUAAACAGAAGGGAGUUGUCACUCACUCUAGUAUAAAAUGAGUCGAUCAGUGAACUUUGUAUCCAGCUUUCUGUAAAGGCUAUCUGAUAUUCUUUAGAAGAUAGCUUCUCUGUCAAGCUUAGCAUCCUUUUUUUUUGCGAGGGCUUCUUAUGUUUGGACGGGCAUAAAAAGUGGAAACUUUGGUUAAAGAUCGGGAAAAACUGUUGGAUUGUUCCAGACCAUAAACAGUCCAAGAAAAGUGAUGGUAGCCCCAUUGUUUAAAACAAGACCAGACAAAGCAUUAGAAAACAUGCUGCAUGGAACAAUUACUGCAUUACUAGGGAUUUAGAUUUUAUUGACAUAAUAGGCACUUCUAACUUCUGUGAUCUUUAUUUGUUUUAGCACUAGAUGCAACCUGCAGGCUAAGGGCUGUAUUGAGCAAAAAGCCAACUAAGCAUAUUUGGUUGUAAAAUUUCAAUGAGCUUCCUGCCUUGUGGAAGAAAAUAAUUAAAAUAUUAUGCAGCCCUUCCUAUGCCAUGGGGAGUGUUGAAGUUGUAGCAUACUCUACAGAAUACUAUACAGAGUUUAUCUGGAUAAUUGUUUUAGUCUAUAAGCAAACCUGACUGAGGUUUUCAAGCACCAUGUAUAUGUGUGCAGGCCACCCAGUAAAUUGUUUUAGAAAGUGUUCAGAUCAGGUUCUCUAAUGUAAUUAAUUUAAACUCUAUUAUGGAUAGCUUAACGGUGGAAAGACUUAGUAUGUGCUUGAGGAAAUACAUUAUUCACAAGCUGUGUGUUCUAGCACUUGAAGUUAGAUUUUUACAUGUCUUCCACUUCGGGCACCUUGUUCUCGCUUCAGAAUAUUGGUCUGACACUUCUCUUUAGUAAUCUUAAUGAUGUAACAUACAUGGAUUGUCUUGCUUGCAGAUGAAUUGCCUUGGGUUUAGAUUAAGGCAUAUUUUUCAACUGCUGUAAUCUGGGCUGGUGACCACAGAAAUACCUUUAGGUAGUGAUAUUGACAGGGAGUGAUUAAGCCGAAUACUUGCCCAAUCUAUUGAACCAACCUCCCAGUACAAUACCCUAUCCCUCAAGAAGCUGUCUUUGGUCUUCUGGCCACCAGAUAUUUAGAAAUUCACCGAAAUGCAUUCUGUUCAGCCUUGCUUAAAACUAAAUUUAAAUCUGACAUUUAGUCUACCUGAAUUACCCCUACAGCUCUAAAUGCCAGGUCCCUCUUUUAAUACCAAAUGGGAUGGUUUUGAUACUUAAGCUACCUGUUCGUUCACCCCAAAGCUGGGCGUAUUCUGUUGGCAGGUAAAUUGAGCCCUUAAUUGUCAUUCACCUAAUAGAAAUCCAGUCAGUUAAUAUUCGUAGAACUCUUUGAAGCUCAGGUGGGAAGAGGCUUAAUAGGUGCCAAGGUAUUCAGCUAGCCUUUGGGCCAUGGUUGUGGACCCCCUGAAUGCCCUCUCUCUGCUUGGAAGAUUACCACUGCUGACAAAGACUUGGCUGGUGUUGAAUCUGGUUGAAGCGUGCUGAUCAUAGCUUAUCCAUGCCUAUACUUGCAGUUUUGAAAAUGAAGUUAGCCUCCAGAAUGAUGGUGAGUGUAAAUUAUCAUUGUCUGUGCUUGCAGUUAACCACGUUCAGCGGUUGGCAACUCCUGUUGAACAGACAAGGUCUAAUUGUCAGUACCUGAUUUUUUUUUUUUUUUAAGGCAGUGUAUACCACUUCUUAUUGAGACAUAUACUGCUGAAGUGGAAAUACUGUCACAGUGAUUUUCCCUAAAAGCCACUCACAGCUAUCAAGCCUUUAGUGCCUAUGAGAUGAAAGAAUUUGGCUCCGAGUCACCUGGUUUUGAGAGGAAAGGCAUCCCAGAUGAUCUGUGAUCAUAGGAACUUGACACCUGGACAGUUGGAAUCUGGAUGUUGGCCUGUGAUGAGCUGGCAUCUCACCAUGAAGAAUUAUGUCCUGUAUGUGGGAGAAAAAGCAAGAGGCAGCAGAGACUUCUUUCAUCCAAAACUGGGAGACAAGGUAGACACUGAAGAAGGAUCUUUAGGUGACAGAAGAAUGAGUGAGCCUGUUUUACUAGUGAUGAGGAGGAAGGGAGAGAAGAUGGAGGAAGACUGUGGAAGCACAAUGGAAAAGGAAGAUAGAUGGUGGAAAAACCAUAGUGGAAAAAAAGGAGGCACAGAAGAAGGUGCAUAUGGCAGGAUGGAGGACAACCAGUGACAAAGAAAUAGGAGAAGGAACAAGAUUGUGGGGAGUAGGACAAAUACUCAUUUUUAAAAAUUCCCAAAGAGUGGGAAGAUGGUAGCAAACUGUAGAUAGAAACAAGGAAAUAUGGGUGGUUUGGAGGUUAGUAGAUUUUUUUUUUUUUAAGGAGUGUGAAAUUGAAAAAUCUUAGACUAAACAGUUGCAUUUGAACCUCUGUGUUCAUUGCACAGCUGUAGUUUUUUGGGGAAAAAAGGUAACCAUUUUGAAUGUGUUGGUACUGCAAGCCAAUCCAAAUUAAAAAUUUAAGUAAUUUGAGGAAAAGCGAGACUAAAAUAUACUCUUAUCUCCAUGACUGUGCCUAAUGUGAAAAAUUUGCUAUUGAAAAAAGCCAGUGUGAUGGCAACUGUGCUUGUACAAGCCUAUACAAAAGGAUUCUGUGCAGUAAAAGUAUCUCUCUUUUUUUUUUUUU